rnacentral:sRNA from 1 species
GCCGCCCCGCUUCGUGUGCUACUGCGAAGGGGAGGGAAGCGGGGAGGGGGACCGCGGCGGCUUCAACCUCUAGUGAGUGGGGUGUCCGCGGGGAGGUAGGGGUGCGGGUAGGGUUGCGGGCGGCCCCGCCUGACAGGCCUUCUCCCCCAGCGUGACCGACGCCGCGGAGCUUUGGAGCACCUGCUUCACACCGGACAGCCUGGCGGCCCUCGUGGGUAACUGGGCGGGUCUGGGAGCCGCCACACCCCUCCCUGCAGUCCAGAUCGUCUAUGGGGUGACCGACAUCUGGGAUUCCCCAGAAGGCUCUGACACCCUCUGCCCGCCCUGUAGCUGUAGUCCUCACACUGGCUAGGGGUCCCAAGUGGCUCUGGGGUCGGGCAGGUUUCGGGUGCUCCCAGUGGGCCUCGGGUUCCAGGCAGCUGUUGACAAGCCCCUGUGCUCUCUAGAAAGCCCGUUUUGGCCUGAGUGCGGCUGAGGACAUCACCCCCCGGUUCAGGUGAGACCCAAGCAGGGAGGAAGGGUGGGUGGGGAGGAGGAGGGUCUGCCACAGCUCUCAGCACCUCUCCUUUCCCAGGGCAGCCUGUGAGCAGCAAGCUGUGGCUCUGACCCUGCAUGAGGACAGAGCAUCCCUGACGCUUUCAGGGGGGCCCUCGGCACUGGCCUUUGACCUCUCCAAGGUACCAGGCCCAGAGGCAGCCCCCAGGCUGCAGGCGCUGACACUGGGCCUGGCAAAACGCGUGUGGAGCCUGGAGCGGCGACUGGCAGCUGCAGAAGAGACAGCUGCCAGCCCCAGGAAGAGCCCCCGGCCUGCAGGGCCUCAGCUCUUCUUACCAGACCCAGAUCCUCAGAGAGGUGGCCCUGGACCUGGAGUCAGGAGGCGGUGUCCGGGAGAGUCGCUCAUCAACCCCGGGUUCAAGAGUAAGAAACCAGCUGGUGGUGUGGACUUUGAUGAGACCUGAAGGCGCAGCACAAGUGUGGCCCCGCGGGGAGUCCGCCUGUGAGGCGAGAGGCAGUCUUCGAGGCCCCCAUCAGAGACCCCAACCCCCGCCCCCAGCCACCAACUCCACCUGCCUGUCCUGGGCCAGGACUAAGACGGCUCCUCAAAUUCCUUCCCUGUCAAAUAAACGGCUCCCUUGG